rnacentral:rRNA from 1 species
UACGGAGGGGGCGAGCGUUAUUCGGAAUUAUUGGGCGUAAAGGGCGCGUAGGCGGCUUGCUGUGUCAAAGGUGAAAUCCCUCGGCUCAACUGAGGAACUGCCUUUGAAACUGUCUGGCUUGAGGCCGGGAGAGGGUAGCGGAAUUCCCAGUGUAGCGGUGAAAUGCGUAGAUACUGGGAGGAACACCGGUGGCGAAGGCGGCUACCUGGACCGGUUCUGACGCUGAUGCGCGAAAGCGUGGGUAGCAAACAGG